AGAGGAUAGUUGCAAGUGGAGUAGAGACGGAUGUGUUUGUGGGAACUGCAGUGAGCUUCUAUGGAAAAUGCGAGGCUGUAGAAGACGCAAGACAGGUGUUUGAUCGGAUAAUGGACAAAGACAUUGUUUGCUGGAAUGAAAUAACCGGAGCGUAUGCACAGCACCAUUGCGAGGAGAAAGCGUUUGCAUUGUACCUGGAGAUGGUGGAGAAUCAAAUGCGCCCCAACGAUGUCACGCUCAUCACGCUCAUCACGCUCCUGGACUCUUGUUCGAGCACCUGCAAAAUGGAAAGGGGAUCGUCACUCCACAGAGAAGCUGCUGCUAGAGGAUACCUGUUCCACACGUCCGUCGUCAACGCGCUCAUCAACAUGUAUGCCAAGUGUGGAAGCCUCGAAAACGCGACGAGAGUGUUUAUCGAGGCAACAAACCGCACUACCAACGUGAUCACCUGGAACACCAUGAUAGUAGCCAACGCACAGGAGGAUCUAAAUCUCGAGGCCCUGCAAAUAUACCGCAGAAUAAAUCAAGAAGGGAUAAAAGCAAGCGACGUUACUUACGGUACUGUUCUUGCUGUCUGUGCCAAUCUUGGUGAAUUUACCACGGGCCGAGAAGUUCACUCUCGCAGUCUUGCCACUGGAUGCUGCUCGGACGUCGUAAAAAACUCUCUUAUGUGUCUGUGUGGAAACUUGGAGGCCGCUCAAACUGCUUUCGAGAGUGUCGCAAGUAAAAACGUCGUUUCCUGGUCUUCAAUCGUUGCGGCUUAUGCACGGAACGGCGAAGAAGACAGAGCUCGCAACCUGUUCUGGACGAUGAAUCAGGACGGAGUGCUGCGGAAUAUUGUUACGUUCACUUCUGUUCUUCAUGCCUGCUCUCAUGCCGGACUGGCCGACGAAGGAUGGAGCUACUUUCUCUCCAUGCAGGGAGACCACCAUCUAGAGCCAACUCCCGAGCACUACGGAUGCAUGGCCAACUUGCUCGCCAAGUCCGGCUGGGUGAAGCACGCUGCAAGCUUCAUGUCCGCCAUGCCGGUUCAACCUGAUGCUUCAGCCUGGAGGAGCCUACUUGGUGCUUGU
rnacentral:lncRNA from 1 species